GUUGAGGGGGAUGUUGGCUGGCUCGAGGCUUUUUUAAUCAUGUAGCUCGAUCUAAGCUAGUUUUAGUUGGUUUGAUUGCCUGAUUAAGGCAUCGGACCAGGCUUCAUUCCUCUCAAC